CCUACGGGAUGCAGCAGUAGGGAAUCUUCCACAAUGGGCGAAAGCCUGAUGGAGCAACGCCGCGUGGGUGAAGAAGGUCUUCGGAUCGUAAAACCCUGUUGUUAGAGAAGAAAGUGCGUGAGAGUAACUGUUCACGUUUCGACGGUAUCUAACCAGAAAGCCACGGCUAACUACGUGCCAGCAGCCGCGGUAAUACGUAGGUGGCAAGCGUUAUCCGGAUUUAUUGGGCGUAAAGGGAACGCAGGCGGUCUUUUAAGGCUGAUGUGAAAGCCUUCGGCUUAACCGGAGUAGUGCAUUGGAAACUGGGAGACUUGAGUGCAGAAGAGGAGAGUGGAACUCCAUGUGUAGCGGUGGAAUGCGUAGAUAUUAGGAGGAACACCAGUGGCGAAGGCGGAUUGCUAGACUGUAACUGACACUGAGGCACGAAAGCGUGGGGAGCAAACAGGAUUAGAUACCUUUGUAGUC
rnacentral:rRNA from 1 species